rnacentral:lncRNA from 1 species
GGGUGAAGGGCCGAGGCAGAGAAUCUUCAAGCAGACUCCUCGCUGAGUUCAGAGCCCAAUGCAGGGCUCACCCAGGAUCCUGAAGUCAUGACCUGAGCCAAAACCAAGAGCCAGAUGCUCAACCAACUGAGCCAUGCAGUGUUAUGUAUCAACAUCUUCUGCCAUCAGUCUUGGACUUCAGAAGAUAGCCACCAGUG